ensembl:lncRNA
AAGACAGCGCGCUAGCGUGUCUAGUCUAUGUAUAUCUGUGGUCGGCACGUCUGGUAGCAUCUCUGGCUGCUGUUGAUCUUGUUUUUGGAGUAAAACACAGUGGAAGCUGAAUUAGUGAGGAUGACUCCUGCUCCUGUCAUCUCUAAGCUCCUCACACAUCUUUACCUGCACAUGAGGAAAAUCACUCCUGUAGAAUGCAGAUGUUCAGAGGGAGAUGAUGCCACAUCUGGUCCAGCUGAUGGAAGGUCUUGAAGUUCUCUGACUGGCCUCGACUGAAGAUGGUCGUCUCACUGGAUUUAAGGUUCAGAUGCUCAGUAACAAACUCCACCAAUGUGCCAACAGGGAAGCUUUAGGUUUAUUAAAUGUUGCUAUGAAGGUUUCGCUGUUUUUCUUUGUGAAUGCAAUGUGCUCCAACUGAAACUUGAAUUAGAACUUAAAAGUAAAUCCUUCCAUCUGAAAGGAUUUAGUUGCAUUAAUAACCUCAUAACAUUCUAAUUUUUAUUCCAGUCUUGGUUGGAAAUAGAAUCUCUGUAUUGAUUCAGGUAAAAACUGAACUUCACAGCAUGUUGAAGCAAAACAACCAGAUGAAAACUGUGAUGGUGUUGGAUUGUCAGACCGUAAUGUUGCAGCUCAAAGCAGCUUUUCUAUCUCAGUUCAUUCUGACAUUCAGCUAUGAAUCAACACAGCAGAUGGUGAUCCAUGCUGUGGAAGUCUCACAUCUCCUGAUUUAAUGGAGCUGCUUUGCACUUUUUACACUGUUUAUUCACCAACACUUUAUUUAAUAAAAGUCCCAUCUAGUUUUUAUGAGGAAUGUGAUGUUUUAAUUUCUCUGUGAAUAACUGCAGUCUAAUGCAACAGCUGGAGUUGUAACAUCUGUCCUGAUAUUGAUCAUGAAGUAUUGAUCAGAAUACUUAUGGUUAGCAGUCAUCCCUGAAGUUUUACAUUAAAAUCUUUACUUGUGUUGUGAACUUUGGUAAGAAACAGAAACGUUAGCGUUGCCAUGGAUAUAUGAGUGUUAAAUUCUGCCCAUGUUUCCAUUUUGGGAAAUGCAGUCCAGUUCCAGAAUGUGGAGGAAUUUAGUCUCACAAUCGCAGACAACAAAUAUUAUCUGAAAGUCGGGUUAUUGUUGUUUAUCAGCACAAUACAAAAAGAUUAAUGUUAGAAAUAUUCCAGUUAAGACUCUAGAAUAUCAUCCAUCCAUCCAUCCAUCCAUUAUCUAUACACCGCUUAAUCCUCACUAGGGUUGCGGGGGGGCUGGAGCCUAUCCCAGCUGACUCGGGCGAAGGCAGGGGACACCCUGGACAGGUCGCCAGUCUGUCGCAGGGCCACAUACAAAGACAAACAAGCACUCUCACAUUCACACCUACGGUGUGAUUUAGAAUAAUCAAUUAACCUCAGCAUAUUUUUGGACUGUGGGAGGAAGCCGGAGUACCCGGAGAGAACCCACGCAUGCACAGGGAGAACAUGCAAACUCCAUGCAGAAAGAUCCCGGGAAAGCCGGGACGCGAACCAGGGACCUUCUUGUUGCAAGGCGAAAGUGCUAACCACUACGCCACUGUGCAGCCCUCUAGAAUAUCAUGAUUUAUGUAAAUUUACCUCAAUAAUAUGAAUGUUCAGGUUAAGAUUGUACAGUGAUAUUUAUAAUGUAAGUUUAGCUGCUUAAAGUUUAUGACUCUGCACUAAAAUAUUAUUUAAAUUGACAUCAUUAUUAUAAUAUUUAGGGUCAGACCCUACAGUAUUGAGAUUAAGAAAUCAAAUAUUCUAUAAAAUGUAAAUACACUGAACUCAUUUGGAUAUAUUUAAGUGAGACUCUACAAUAUUAUUUGACACAAAUCUAUCUAAAUCAAAAUUUUAAUAAUUUUCACACCAAACAUUUACUGGACUGAUUUAAAUAUUAAAAUCACUCCUUUCUAAUCCUCUGCUGUACGUUCAAACCUGAGGCCUUAAAUAGAAACACACAAGUAUCUGAUUGAAGGAACUUCUGCAGAGUCCUGGUUCUACAACAUGAUGAUAGAAUUAUAGACAAACUUUAACAAAAGCUGCCUGAGAGUUUACAGGUUUUUAUGUUAGAUUUCUUCAGUAAUUUAAUGAGAGUUAUCAGCAAAAAUCAAGUGUUCAUUUGAUGAACUUGAUUUCCUAAAACAUCCAGAAUUGAAGCUCAUAUCUUUGGCAGCUGUAAAGUUUCUGCUCCUUCAAAGUUCACAACACAAUGAAUGAAUUCCUAAAACACUCUCAAUGCUGGAGAGCGUUUGUGAUGCUGAAGCAGUGAUCAGUUUUUCUGUUUCUUCUCUGGAGAUGCACAAUGAGGGACGUCUGCAGAGACUGAGAAAGAGUCUCACCACAUCCUGACAUGAGGAAAAAGACUUUAUUGAAGACUACAAUGAGAAAAACUAUCAGACAGCAGACGGCUGCAUUCAAGUCUGUAGCUGCUGAAUUCAUGGAUGAAUCAUCUGGCACUAGAGAAGAAGACCAUCAAACAUCCACAUCAGCUGAUGGAGGUCCAAGAGUCUCACCAAACAAACAACCUACAGAGUGAAGACCUCCAAUCUGAUUGGACGGCCUCCUAUUCAGCCACAUGCUACAGGAGGAGCCCUACGAGGACGAGCCGGUCCACCUGAUGGAGGCCAGUCGCUGCGGUUCAAAGGCAACACCGACUACGUGGACUUCUACUGGACCACACGGAGGCCUUCAAACCGGACCAACAAGUUCAGCGACUCCCCGACUCGUGGGUCUGAGGACGCUGCCGAGCCUCGGUCCAGCCGGCCUCCUGUCUGUGGGUGUUUGAGUGCUGAGAGGUUUGUGGAUGCAUGUGAACGUGUCUGUGUUGAAACAGCAGCUUUGGACUCACUAACGCUGGGAAAAACCAAGAGCUCCUUUAUUUGUGACUUCCACUAAAAAACUGAUGAAAAUAAGUUUGCCAGGGUUCUGAC